rnacentral:lncRNA from 14 species
GGUGCUCUUAGUCUGUUUUCCCUAUCUUCCAUUAUUAGAUCUUUUAGCUAUUGUCUAUGAUUCAUUCCGGAUGCUCGUUGAGAGACAUAGGCUGGAUAGGCCAGAACACUGGUCGGUCUUGGUAGCUUGUAAUUUUUAUCCUUUACAAGUCUGGCAUAUAUUAUCCACUCGCUGUUCUUCCUCAGGCAAUUUGCUGCCGGAAGGAGGAAGAAGACGUCCGCUCGAGAAAAACAAGAAGAGGAAGAAGCUAAAUGUCUAGAGAAGUUUCAAGAUGCUGAUCCAUUGGAACAAGAUGAGCUCCACACUUUCACAGAUACAAUGUUACCAGGCUGCUUCCAUCUUCUUGAUGAGUUGCCUGAUACAGUGUACCGCGUUUGUGAUCUGAUCAUGACAGCCAUCAAACGUAAUGGAGCUGACUAUCGUGAUAUGAUUCUGAAGCAGGUUGUCAACCAGGUUUGGGAAGCUGCUGAUGUAUUGAUCAAAGCCGCCCUUCCUCUAACAACAAGUGACACAAAAACAGUUUCAGAAUGGAUCAGUCAGAUGGCUACCCUGCCACAGGCCUCCAAUUUGGCUACUAGAAUCUUGCUUUUAACACUACUUUUUGAGGUAACAGAUCCUUUGCCUCCAUAAUUCACUUACUGAGAAUUACCCAGUACUUAGCAAUACAUUUAACUGGAGAAAAGUACAAAGUGUGAUCCAUGUAUUUCACAUGAGUCCACACUCUCCUAAUAGACUAAAAUGUGUAUAAUCAAGUGUGGGAUAGAAGGUUCUAUGUUGGGAAAGUGAUAUAUAUCACCUCUGAAUAGUGCAAGAAGUGCUUUUUAAAACAAGUGUUGAGUCAGAAGAUAAUGGUAAGUUUCUGUCUUUGAGUAUGUACUACAUGUGUAAAAGCAGUACACACCAGGUCAGAUAACAUUCUAGAAGGGAAUUUCUUUGUCUAGCCUUGGCUGUCCUGGAAAUAAUCCUGUAGACCAGACUGUCCUUGAAUUCACAGAAAUCCACCUGCCUCUGCCUUCCAAGCACUGGCAUUAAAAGAUGUGCAUCACCACUGCCCAGCUGAAUAGUUGAAUUUUUUUUGAUAAUUCGCUUUAAGAAUUAGGAUAAAAAUGAGAAAAUAAAGAACUAAAAAGUCGGUUAUAGGAUCUCAUGUUAAGAAUUACAGAUUUUUUUCUUCUAGUCUUUUCAUUUAAAUAAUUAAUAUUGUUAUAAUUAUUUCCCUAUAUCAUGU